rnacentral:rRNA from 1 species
UACGGAGGUGGCGAGCGUUGUCCGGAGUUACUGGGCGUAAAGCGCUUGUAGGCGGUCCACCAAGUUUGGGGUGACAGUUGCCGACUUAAUCGGCAAAGUGCCUCAAAGACUGGCGGACUUGAGGGCCACAGAGGGACAUGGAACUCCAGGUGUAGUGGUGAAAUGCGUAGAUAUCUGGAAGAACACCAAAGGCGAAGGCAGUGUCCUGGGUGGUCGCUGACGCUGAGAGGCGAAAGCCAGGGGAGCGAACGGG